GGGCGAUUAGCUCAGCUGGGAGAGCGGCGGCCUUACAAGCCGUAGGUCACAAGUUCGAUCCUUGUAUCGCCCACCA
rnacentral:tRNA from 4 species